UACAGAGGGUGCAAGCGUUAAUCGGAAUUACUGGGCGUAAAGCGCGUGUAGGCGGGUCUUUAAGUCAGGGGGGAAAUGCCAAGGCUCAACCUUGGAACUGCCUUUGAUACUGGAGACCUUGAGUCCGGGAGAGGUGAGUGGAAUUGCGAGUGUAGAGGUGAAAUUCGUAGAUAUUCGCAAGAACACCAGUGGCGAAGGCGGCUCACUGGCCCGGAACUGACGCUGAGACGCGAAAGCGUGGGGAGCAAACAGG
rnacentral:rRNA from 1 species